rnacentral:rRNA from 1 species
GACGAACGCUGGCGGCGUGCUUAACACAUGCAAGUCGAACGAAGUGGCGAACGGGUGAGUAACGCGUAAUCAACCUGCCCUUCAGAGGGGGACAACAGUUGGAAACGACUGCUAAUACCGCAUACUGAAGGAGGGGAUGGCGGCGGAUUAGCAAGUUGGAGGGGUAACGGCCCACCAAGGCGAUGUCUAGUAGCCGGUCUGAGAGGGUGAACGGCCACAUUGGGAAUGAGACACGGCCCAGACUCCUACGGGAGGCAGCAGUGGGGAAUCUUCCGCAAUGGACGAAAGUCUGACGGAGCAACGCCGCGUGAGUGAUGACGGCCUUCGGGUUGUAAAGCUCUGUUAAUCGGGACGCGGUACCGGAAUAGAAAGCCACGGCUAACUACGUGCCAGCAGCCGCGGUAAUUC